CAGACAGACAGUCUAGGACAGGUCAACGACAGACAGGCUGUGUAGUGACAGACAGCUGAUAUGAACAGUGAUUAGAGUGUAGUAAUAACAAUAGAAAAGAUGAUUACGACAGUGACAUUAAAGACCAACAUUUAUCCCCCGUUAACCACAGUCCUGGAAUCAGAUGUUAACUCCUGUCUCUACAUAGUGGAGGUUAGGACCCCCGUUAACCACAGUCCUGGAAUCAGAUGUUAACUCCUGUCUCUACAUAGUGGAGGUUAGGACCCCCUGUUAACCACAGUCCUGGAAUCAGAUGUUAACUCCUGUCUCUACAUAGUGGAGGUUAGGACCCCCUGUUAACCACAGUCCUGGAAUCAGAUGUUAACUCCUGUCUACAUAGUGGAGGUUAGACCCCCGUUAACCACAGUCCUGGAAUCAGAUGUUAACUCCUGUCUCUACAUAGUGGAGGUUAGACCCCCGUUAACCACAGUCCUGGAAUCAGAUGUUAACUCCUGUCUCUACAUAGUGGAGGUUAGGGACCCCCUGUUAACCACAGUCCUGGAAUCAGAUGUUAACUCCUGUCUACAUAGUGGAGGUUAGACCCCCGUUAACCACAGUCCUGGAAUCAGAUGUUAACUCCUGUCUCUACAUAGUGGAGGUUAGGACCCCCGUUAACCACAGUCCUGGAAUCAGAUGUUAACUCCUGUCUACAUAGUGGAGGUUAGGACCCCCGUUAACCACAGUCCUGGAAUCAGAUGUUAACUCCUGUCUACAUAGUGGAGGUUAGACCCCCGUUAACCACAGUCCUGGAAUCAGAUGUUAACUAGGUUAAGGGAUCUGAUGCUAGAUAGACAGAAAGGUUCAACCUCCUCGUUAUUCCGUCGACCCCCAGACAGGGGGGGCCCUGAUGAACUCCAGACAGGGGGGGCCCUAAUGAACUCCAGCCGGG
rnacentral:lncRNA from 1 species